rnacentral:lncRNA from 1 species
CUCCUCCUUUCUCUCUCUUCCUUCCUUCUUCCUUCGUUCUUUCUUUCUCGUUCUUCUUCCUUCGUUCUCCUGUGCAGGCGACAGAGGAGGGGCUGGUGGCUAGGAGGGCAGUGGGGAGGCCAAGGAGAUGAGCGCUGGGGUCAGGGAGCCGAGGGGGUUCCAUUCCCCUCGGUGGUGAUGCCCAGGACGGCGCCGGGAGGGCCGGCGGC